GGUUAACGCUGGCGGCGUGCAUAACACAUGCAAGUCGAACGAUGAAACUUAACUGAUUUCUUCGGAAUGAUUUUAAGUGGAUUAGUGGCGGACGGGUGAGUAACGCGUGAGUAACCUGCCUUGGAGAAGGGGAUAGCCUUUGGAAACGAAGAAUAAUACCCUAUGAUAUGAUAAUAUCUCAUGAUAUUAUCAUCAAAGAUUUAUCGCUCUAAGAUGGACUUGCGUCUGAUUAGUUAGUUGGUGAGGUAACAGCUCACCAAGGCAGCGAUCAGUAGCCGGCUUGAGAGAGUGUACGGCCACAUUGGGACUGAGACACGGCCCAGACUCCUACGGGGGGCAGCAGUGGGGAAUUUUGCACAAUGGGGGAAACCCUGAUGCAGCGACGCCGCGUGAUUUAGAAGGCCUUCGGGUUGUAAAAAUCUUUUGUAUGGGAAGAAAAUGACAGUACCAUACGAAUAAGGACCGGCUAAUUACGUG
rnacentral:rRNA from 1 species